ensembl:lncRNA
CUCGGAUUGCAACAGAUCAGCAGGGUCCCCAAGGGGAGGACUGAGGCCUUGCUGGGCUCAUUCAUUCGUUUGCUUAGUAUGUGUGUGGUGAGCACACCCUCUAGUCCAGGCCGUGGAGGGACCAAAAGGAUGGGACGCAGCCCUGCCCUCCGAGUUCACACAGGAGCAGGGGACACAGCUCUGCCCUCCGAGUUCACACAGGAGCAGGGGACACAGCCAGGCAGGGAUGGCGUGCAGCGUGGUGAGUGGAGUGGCUGCAGGACCACUGGAAACCUACCCGAGGGGACUUUCAACUUGGCCAGUCUGUUGAGAAAGGGAAGAAAUGGGAGCCAGGUGGAUCCAGCCUGAGCACGUGGGCCCAAGUCGGGGGUGCAGAGUGUCCAGCCACCCAGAGGCAUCUGCUGUCCAGGAAAGGACGGACUCCUUCCUGAACUAGACCCCUGACCUCCCUAGCCCUUCCCCCCAACCUCUUCCUGCAAUGAAUCAAGUCUAGGGAUACGUAAAACUAGGAAUUCCAAAAGACUCUGUGCACGUGCGAAUUCACACAUGCAUGAGCGCGCACGCGCGCGCGCACACACACACACAUCUUUUCACUCUGUGCACAGCCUGUACCAAGGGAACCAGAAAUCAAAGCUGUUGGGCCCACUCUGCCCCUUCCCAAGUCCCUUAGGUCCUGAGAACAUCAUUUCAAAUAGACCCCCCCAGGGUCAGGGGAUCACAGGCAAAGAAGUCUGUGAAGAAAAGCAGCUGGAAAGGGUUGCAGAGAGCCCGUUCAAGGCAUGCCCAAGGCCCACGGCAGACAGCCUGGGAGAACUGCUCCCUGAUCCUUCUGGGAAGCCCCCCGGCUCCCAGCCGCACGGCUCCUGGCUGCCAGAGCUGGGACAGACACAGACAGAGCAGGACUGGCAACAGCUGGGGCUGGGAGGCUGCCGAGUCCCAGGCUGGAAUGAGCGAGAAACCUGUCCAGCGAUGAGAUCAAGGAGAUGGCACCCAUGUCUCCCCAGGGAGCCCGGCUCCUCGUCCCAGGACAUUCCAAACUCUGUGAACAAAACAUGGGGUGGGAAGCCAGCCAACCUGGGCCGGUGCCAGGUGGCUCCCCCGCCACCC